UACGUAGGUGGCAAGCGUUGUCCGGAUUUACUGGGUGUAAAGGGCGCGUAGGCGGGCUUGCAAGUCAGUCGUGAAAUACCGGGGCUUAACUCCGGGGCUGCGAUUGAAACUGCAAGUCUUGAGUAUCGGAGAGGAAAGCGGAAUUCCUAGUGUAGCGGUGAAAUGCGUAGAUAUUAGGAGGAACACCAGUGGCGAAGGCGGCUUUCUGGACGACAACUGACGCUGAGGCGCGAAAGUGUGGGGAGCAAACAGG
rnacentral:rRNA from 1 species